rnacentral:lncRNA from 1 species
AAUACUUUUAACAAAUUUAUUUAUGGUUUCUUAAUCUCAUCAGAUCAUCACUGUGCUUAGUUUCCAUUCAAUUCAUCUUCCUUUCUUCGAAUUUUCUCUUCUUCGUGUGGAUUUUUUUAUUUAGUAUGGAAUAUCUCUUAUCUGUCACCGCCAAUAAACCUAACUGAUGAGUCUUUGUUCCUGCCGUUCAUCUGCAUAUGAACUUUGCUGAAUUUUUCUUUAUUCUCUUUUUUUUUCUGAUAACUACCACUCUUUUCUCUCCCCAAC